rnacentral:sRNA from 1 species
UACUCAAUCCUAAAUGCAAUGCAACAAUAUGAACACUCUGUUUUUGCGAAAUCAUUUUCCGAAAUUUAUUAUUUUUUUUGGUUUUUUCUAUGUCUUUGAUGAAUGCAGACUAAAGAGUAUAUACAAUGCAACACACACUUCCUGAGCCCUCCCCCAAACUUAAAUCACACAACUUUGGAAGAGAGUACUCAGGACAAAACACUUCACAUAAAUAAAAUAUAAACAAACGAUGGUAUUAUACAAUGGUAAAGUGAGACGCUUACCUCAGUCGAAGAGUGAACGGAGUUGGUCGUCAAUAGUUGCCUGUGAUUGCUCCCAGGACAUUGAAGAGUCGCCUUGUUCUAUCUUAGCUCCAGCAUGUGGGUACUCAACCUCAAUGCCUCUGUGGCGGCCAGCACCGUGGUCGAAUUGAUCUCCUCGAAUGGAUAAGGCGUGAUCUGCUGCUAGAGCAAGCGAGCAUAGCCUUCUUCUUCUUCUUGUGCUCCCGGGACUCGAAUGACAAAUGUCUGGCAGGGACAUGUGAGACUCUCUGCGCACUAGGCUCAGGUCUGAGCUGACUUGGCUCAGGCUCGUCAAAUCUCCUCGAUGGCAUGUCCUGAGGAGGUUGUCCCUGCGGAAUAGAUGUAGUGGAAGUCGAGCAGCUUAGCAUGGCCUUCAGAGACUUGAUAGUCUUUAGACAUUUGAUGAUGAACUUGUCUUGCUUCUUGCACCACUUCUGUAACUUGUUAUUGUUUCUGUGAGCUUCACUCAAGUUCUUACUCUCUCUCGCUGGAGCUACAUGCUCACUGAAAUGAUACAUGCUUGAAUCAUACUUCUCCUCAUAUGUCUCACCAAUCUCAUCCUCAGUAGCUUCUUCUGUAUGAACAUCCUCAUCUGUUGGCUGAGCGUUCUCGUAAUAGAGGUUCUCAAGUGCAGGCUUCAAAUCAAUGUUAUGUCCCUCUAUUAUGCGUGUAACCUCAGUAUCGGACUAGGGAGAAGGAUGUUGGCUUUCUUGUACGUAGAGUGCUCAAACUUAAAACGAUGCUUGUCGCCGACCAUUGCAAACUCUAGGAUUUCGCAGUGACGUAGAUGCCUGAGGUUCAUUGCUCUUGGCUCAAAUCCUUCACAUGUGAUUGGGACUCCACAAGCGAUGAGAAUCGGUGUGACAACACCUCCUAUGCAAAGAGCGCCUCGUGCUCUCUUGUGGUUAUUGUUGACAGCCAAGCUUUUGUAUCCACACAGGUGGAUACGAAGAAGUAUAAAGAGAGGUGUGUCAUUGGUUUUAUCUUGGAGAGACAUACCAUUCUUGGUUUGGCGGAGAGUACCUCUAAGAGCAAUAACGAUCAUCUCCAUAUACGAGUUGGUGACAGUCCAUGUUAUCUCUCUAGAGUACAAGACAUUGGCCACACAACACUGAAAGUACCAGAUGACAAGGCUGCGUAUCUGGUUGCUCUUGGAUCUCGAAGAAUUCAACGGUAUAGAGCUUCCAAUAGUGAGCCAUAAAUCCUUCAACUCAUCUCUGUCAAACUUGGGCUUGGUUCCCGUUCCACUGGGGAAACCAAACAAUCCUUCCAAGCGCUUGAUUGUCAACACAUAAUCUUGACCAUACACAAAGAAUCUAAAGAAUCCCAAUCCUUCAUUUUCCAAAUCAUCAGAGCUCAUACCUUGGUAGAGCUCCACUUGUAGUGUGGAGAGGAAUCGAAUCGUUUCUUCCUCGUAGGCUACAUAUGGGUAGCAACACGAUCUUUAAAGCCUAAGUAGUGUAUCCUUGUUAGAAGACACAAAGACAAAGACUCAUACGGACUUCGACUACACCAUCAAAGCUUUGCCCUUUUAUUCAUGAAGAAAGAAAAUACAUCGGUCUAUCUAAAGCAACAAAAUUCGUUCUAUCUUAACUAAUGAACAUCCAUAUCACUUUCCUUCACUAAUUUCCUUAGACGGACUUCCCUCUUCUCUUAUUACAAUUAGAACGGAUUGAAAAAAAAACUUACACCUCAUCCCUUCAAUCACCGUUACUCGAUCCGAACUUGAACCAUUCUCUUGCUACUUUUCUUUCUUCAA